AUUGAACGCUGGCGGCAGGCCUAACACAUGCAAGUCGAACGAGUGGCGGACGGGUGAGUAAUGUCUGGGAAACUGCCCGAUGGAGGGGGAUCACUACUGGAAACGGUAGCUAAUACCGCAUACACUCGGAUGUGACCAGAUGGGAUUAGCUAGUAGGUGGGGUAACGGCUAACCUAGGAGACGAUCCCUAGCUGGUCUGAGAGGAUGAACAGCCACACGGGAACGGAGACACGGUCCAGACUCCUACGGGAGGCAGCAGGGGGGAAUAUUGCACAAUGGGCGAAAGCCUGAUGCAGCAAUGCCGCGUGUAUGAAGAAGGCUGUCGGGUUGUAAAGUACGUUCAGCGAGGAGGCGUUACUCGCAGAAGAAGCACCGGCUAACUCCGUGCCAGCCGCCGCGGUAAUUC
rnacentral:rRNA from 1 species